GUUAAACAUCUAGCCCAACCUAAAACACCAACCUAUAACCUCAAACCCUCACAACCAGCUAAAACUAAAGCAUUUUAUCUCUUCAGUAUGGGCGAUAGAACAAGAUACAGGAGCCAUAGAAAAAGUACCGCAAGGGAAAGAUGAAAUAGAAAUGAAACAACCCCCUUAAACACUAAGCAGCAGAGAUUAACACUCGUACCUUUUGCAUCAUGGUCUAGCUAGUCCACCCAAGCAAAAAGUUUUUUAGUUUGACCUCCCGAAACUAAGCGAGCUACUCCGAGGCAGCUUUAGAGCCAACCCGUCUCUGUGGCAAAAGAGUGGGAAGACCUCCGAGUAGGGGUGACAGACCUACCGAGCUUAGUGAUAGCUGGUUGCUCAGGAAAAGAAUUUAAGUUCAACCUUAAGAGCUGUUUAAAGCCCAUAAAGCAUAAAACCUAUCUUAAGAGCUAUUCGAGCGGGGUACAGCCCGAUCGAACAAGGGUAAAACCUAUAAUGCUGGGUAACGAUUAUACAAUUAAAGGUAACAGAUCAAGUGGGCCUAAAAGCAGCCAUCUUUGAAGAAAGCGUCAAAGCUCAUUCUACCAUAAACCAACAAUUUUAAAACCUAAUCAAAACCCUAACACACUACUGAGCUGUUCUAUACACCUAUAGAACCAUUUAUGCUAGAACUAGUAACAUGAAUUUAUUCUCCCAAAUGCAAGUGUAAAUCAGAUCGAAGCAAUCACUGAUAAUUAACGGCCUUAAAUGAAAAAAAUGUAGCAACCCACCAAGAAAACCCUAUACCACACACCGUUAAACUUACACAAGAGCAUUCCAGGAAAGAUUUAAAGACUUGGAAGGAACUCGGCAAACAAGAACCCCGCCUGUUUACCAAAAACAUCGCCUCUUGCCCAACUCAAAUAAGAGGUCCAGCCUGCCCAGUGACCAUGUGUUCAACGGCCGCGGUAUUCUGACCGUGCAAAGGUAGCGUAAUCACUUGUCUUUUAAAUAGAGACUGGUAUGAAUGGCACCACGAAGGUUCAACUGUCUCCCAAAUCUAAUCAGUGAAACUGAUCUCCCCGUGCAGAAGCGGGGAUUUCCACAUAAGACGAGAAGACCCUAUGGAGCUUUAAACUAGGACCACCUGUUUUUCUUUUCAAACCAACCAGGCAUAACCACUAGCUAAGCAGAUCUGGCUCCCUUGUUUUCGGUUGGGGCGACCACGGAGAAAAAAAAAUCCUCCAUGAAGAAAGGAAAUCUCUCCUAAACCAAGAACCACAUUUCUAAGCAUCAGAACUUCUGACUAUAAUUGAUCCAGUCUAACUGAUCAACGAACCAAGUUACCCUAGGGAUAACAGCGCAAUCUAUUUUAAGAGUUCAUAUCGACAAAUAGGUUUACGACCUCGAUGUUGGAUCAGGGCCCCCCAGUGGUGCAGCCGCUACUAAAGGUUCGUUUGUUCAACGAUUAAAGCCCUACGUGAUCUGAGUUCAGACCGGAGUAAUCCAGGUCAGUUUCUAUCUAUGAAGAAUUUUCCCCAGUACGAAAGGACCGGAAAAAUAUGGCCAAUGCCACAGCAAGCCUUAACCUUACCUCAAUGACACUAACUAAAUUGACUAAAACUCUACUACUACGCCCAAGAACAGGGCUA
rnacentral:rRNA from 1 species